UACGACCAAAUCACGUUGAAAACACCGGUUCUCGUCCGAUCACUGAAGUUAAGCAACGUUGGCCCGGUUAGUACUU
rnacentral:rRNA from 1 species